UCUAUCAUCUAUCUAUCUCUGUCAUAGUACUUAUCAUACCACAUUCUGAUGUCUCAGUUCCUUCACCUCCCAUCACAUUGUUAGCAACUCUAAAACAAGGUCCAUGCCUUGUUCAGUAUUUCUAGUCCCUGGCAUGUAGUAGUCAUUCAAUGUAUUUUGUUAAGUAAAGGAACAGAUGAAUAUCUCUCAUUAAAUCAUUUGAAGAGUUAUCUUUUCCUUUUGUGAACAGAUCUUAAGACUAUUUCUCAAGUCAUUUUGUGUCAGAUUUUCCUUGAUCCAGAGGCUAUAUAAAAGGGAAGUCCUUCUGAUAGCACUUCCCAGUCUGAUCCCCUGUAAAAAAAAUCAUCCAAAUGUCCCAGCUCUCAGACUUCCCGCUCGUAGGUCCCAAAGUAGCAAGACUUCUUUGUCUAAAGCAUGAGGAUUGUGUCUGAUAUAAUGUAUGAAAAGAUAUUCCCCUAGAUCUGAGAUGGAGACAAAGAAGUAGAUUUGGGCAAGUGCACUGGGUCUUUCCUGGUUUCUCUCAGAAUCUGGGAUCAAAUAUGGGGCAACAAAUUCAGCGGGGUGUGUGUUGGUGUGGGGCGGGGUGGGGCGGGUAGAAAAGUUUCCUGAGGAAUCUACACAUUUUUAGAGAGAGAAAAGCCCUUAAAGAAAGUUGAAGAAGAACUUUGGAGAAACCAGAAAAUGAUGAGAAACCUGAGGAACAGGAGCUUGAUUCACUUUAUUCUUAUUUUGUCUGGGAAUAUGGUAGACGGUUGAUGUCAGUGAGGAAGUAGGUGCUUGAAUCCUCUGUUUUCUUUGCCAUUAGAGGAAAUGACCCCUACCUUUGAAUGAACUAGGGGUCCAGGAUCCCGGAGGUAGAAAAGAGAGAGCAAAACAUGUGCCAACACCAGUGGUGAGCACAAUGCAGUAAGAGUAGUUUGAAGGGGUGCUUGGGUGGCUCAGUCGGUUGAACGUCUGACUUCGGCUCAAGUCAUGAUCUCACAGUUCACAAGUUCAAGCCUCGCGUUGUGCUCUGUGCUGACAGCUCAGAGCCUGGAGCCUGCUUUGGAUUCUGUGUCUCCCUCUCUCUCUGCCCCACCCCUGCUCGUGCUCUGUCCCUCUCUGUCUCUUAAAAGAUAAAAUAAAACGUUAAAAAAAUUAAAAAAAAAAAAGAGUAGUUUGGAAAAAUCAGUCUUAUAAACCCUCCAUUGUUGUGUUUCAGGGUUGGACGUAUCCUUAUUCCCUCUUCAAUUUCUUUCUCGGUGGAAAAUGUCUCAAAAGAACAGCAAAUUGAGUUGUUGGGAUUGGGGCUUGUCAUAUAAAAAAGGGAAAGGAAAUUAAGGUCCUGUCUCUCUCUUCAUGACUGUGCCAUUUAGGAAUUUUGCUUAUUAAAUGGGCCUUUCUUCUAUGCCCGCAGAAACUGUAGGGCUACGUUACUUUAUCAUUCUCCUGUGCCAUCUUUCCCAUCUCCCUCUGUCUCCUCCCUUUCAAAAUGGUUUGGUCAGAAGACACUGAGAUACUGCUCUAUUUCUCAUAGCACACAGAGGAAUUUCUGAAGCUCUAAGAAAAUCCUAACCUAGCUAAUUUUUAGAAACAGCAGAAAAGAUGCAUGGAACAUCACUGGGCACAGCCAAAUGAUUUAAAUUAAAUAACUCUGAGUUUACAAGUUUCAAGAAGUAGGCUUUCAUUGGCUUUGGUGUCUGCUUCUCCCUGUACGUUUGCAUUUUGAGAAAGAGUCAGGAAAUGGAAAUGAGAGGGCCUAUUUCAAUGAGGAAAACAUCUAACUCUCAGUAAAAGGAAAAAAAAAAAAACAACUAAACAAACCCGACUAUAAUGGUUUAAAUAAAUAAGGAUUGUUUUUCUCUCAAAAAGGAAGUCUGGAGAUAGUCCAUUGCUGGUGUUGGUUUAGAGGUUUGAUGAUACCAGGGCUAAGGCCAUGGGGAUGUCUUGGCAAGUCCCUCAUGGUUGUCACAUGGCUGUUCAGGCCAUCAUGUCUUCAUUCAUGAAAGGGAAAAUGCAGAAGGGACAAAAAGGUGGUACAAUAGUCCCCCCCCCCCCUUAUCUGCAGUUUUGCUUUCUGUAUUUCAGUUACCCGUGGUCAACCACAGUCUGGAAGCAGAUGUUUCUCCUUCUGAUGGAUUUUUAUCAUCUCUCAUCAACACAAGAAGAAGCAGAAGGGUGGAAGCCAGUCCCGGUGUGAAGCAGACUCAGAAGCCUAUAGCUUUGGGGCACAUCAGGAAAGGCAGUCCCCUAGGGAUCAAUCAGAGGAGAAGCUGGGCUCCUCUACAAAUCAACCUAACUCAAAACCCUCACAGGGAAAUUGUUCACUCCUUCAGUGCAUCAUCGUAGGGCCCAUUAAAGAGUAACGAAAAAAGGACUCUGCCAGAACCCCAGAGCAUGCUGGAGGUUGUGAGAAGGACCAGAUAAUGUUUAAACUGAUUGUGGAGAGGCUGGCUUUCCAUCAGAAAGGCUUUGCAGGAGUGCGGAGAGUGGGUGGAACAGCCAGGCUUUUUCUCCAUCCAGGAGGCACUCUGGCGCUCUCUGAGCCCAUACGUCCACAACUCUGUAACUCAUUGCUUUCCUCAGCACCAGUGGCUUCUUCACCCCAGGAUCAGAAUGUCCAUCACCAUAGCAACCUCAAUAAUGGCUUCAAAUGAGAUCUUUUUGAUCCUCAAGGAUGCUGAUGUACAUUUUCUUUCUUUUCUCUCUUUCUCUUCUUCCUUUCCUUUCCUUCCCUUCUCUUUCUUUCCCUUCCCACUCUCUCUCCCUUUGUCUUUCUUUCUUCUCCGCGAGGCAGGGCAGGGCAGUGGUGGAAGGGUAAUGAAAGUCAGGGCUGAAAUUAGCUGUUGAAGUUGCUACUCCAACAAGAAAUGGCACAUACCUCGAGGCAGAGGAUGAACAGAUGGUGUAUAACUUGUACUCUCAGCCUCUUGAAGCAUCUGCCCUCACACAGAUUCUCAGAUCCUCUCAUAAGGAGAAGGGGAUUUGCAUUAUGGCUACAGGAAAUGAGAGAAAUGGGAUUGCUCUCCUAGGUAGAAUUUUGAUACAUAAACAAGAAAAUAAGAAGACCGUUUUUCUCUUAUUGCUCUCUCUUGUGCUUGCUCGUUUUUCAGAAGCAGUCUGCUUUAUGUGGAAAGAUUCGACAAUUCAAUAAAUUCAGCAAACUUU